AGAAACUUAGGUUAACACCAAACCAAGAGCCUUCAAAGCCCUUAAUAGGGGGUUAAACCCCUAGUCUCUG
rnacentral:tRNA from 1 species